rnacentral:lncRNA from 1 species
UCCACCAUCUCCCAGGAUAUCUAGUUAGGCUGACCCUCAUAAUACAAUUAUCAGUCUACACAAUCUUUCAUUUUCCUUUUCCUUAGUCAGCAUCAUCAAUUCACAUACAAACAAGCAAAACAGUAAUUCAUGCCGAACAGACAACAUACAGUAUCAGCUUUUCAGUCAUUCGACCCAUGAUUAAUAAAAACGUAGUAUAUGCACACAGAUCUGUAAAAUGAACACAUCAAACCUCAUUUUGCAUUUAAAGCUGUAAACAGG